GCGCGGGGCAACCUGGCGGCGAGCGGCGAACGGGUGAGUAAUGCAUCGGAACAUGUCCAUGUCGUGGGGGAUAGCCCGGCGAAAGCCGGAUUAAUACCGCAUACGCCCGAGAGGGGAAAGUGGGGGACCGCAAGGCCUCACGCGAUUGGGUUGGCCGAUGUCCGAUUAGCUAGUUGGCGGGGUAAGAGCCCACCAAGGCGAUGAUCGGUAGCUGGUCUGAGAGGAUGAUCAGCCACACUGGGACUGAGACACGGCCCAGACUCCUACGGGAGGCAGCAGUGGGGAAUUUUGGACAAUGGGGGCAACCCUGAUCCAGCCAUUCCGCGUGAGUGAAGAAGGCCUUCGGGUUGUAAAGCUCUUUUGUCCGGAACGAAACGGUUACGGUGAAUACCCGUGACUACUGACGGUACCGGAAGAAUAAGCACCGGCUAACUACGUGCCAGCAGCCGCGGUAAUACGUAGGGUGCGAGCGUUAAUCGGAAUUACUGGGCGUAAAGCGUGCGCAGGCGGUUUUGUAAGCCAGAUGUGAAAUCCCCGGGCUUAACCUGGGAAUGGCAUUUGGGACUGCAAGGCUGGAGUGUGGCAGAGGAGACUGGAAUUCCUGGUGUAGCAGUGAAAUGCGUAGAUAUCAGGAGGAAUACCGAUGGCGAAGGCAGGUCUCUGGGCUGACACUGACGCUCAUGCACGAAAGCGUGGGGAGCAAACAGGAUUAGAUACCCUGGUAGUCCACGCCCUAAACGAUGUCGACUGGUUGUUGGGGGUUUGACACUCUCAGUAACGAAGCUAACGCGUGAAGUC
rnacentral:rRNA from 1 species